rnacentral:lncRNA from 1 species
GAAAACCGCUGCCAGGGGGGCAUUUGAACUCCGUCGCUUGCUGUCUCGCUGUCCCCUCUCUGCCCCGCGCACCUCGCUCCCCCUCCCGGCCGGCGCUCGCAGUGGCGCGCCUGCUCGCUCUCCCGCUAAGCGACGAGUCUUCAACAAGUUGGAGGAAGGCAGGAACGCAGGGGUUAAGCUCGGAAAGCCGCAAUUACCAAGAUCGUGACCCUCCCACACAGUACAGUAACUUAUAUACUUACCUGGAAGAACCCGCUUUGCCGCCGGGCAAACACCCGUGGGGGGCGGGGAGGGGCCGGAGGGAGCGGGCCGGCAGGAGAGGGGCUGCUUCCAGCUGGCUGCAGUGCGGACGGGACCGGCGCGCUCCCGUGGCCCCCAGACCGAGGUGGUCAAACCUGUCCUGACACCCAGAGGUCUGCAUGAGGGGUGGCCACUGAAGGAGGAGUUCUCAAAGGCCACAGGUGAUGAAGAGCUUGGAUGAAUAAACUUAGAAGUCCCAGGCAUGAACAUACAUCAGUAAUGAGUGAAGCAAAUCUUAGUUUGGUGAAUUUGAAAUCUUUUUGAAUGAAAAGUGCUCUAUAAAUGUGAUUUUAUUUUUAUUAACCACAUUAUUAAAAAAAAACUUUAGGUUGUAAUUUGUUUUUUGUGUAUGGUUUCCAAGCACUUUGCCUGGUUGAGGUUCUGCAUUUUUUGUUCUCUUCUCAAAAAUAUAAAGGAAUUACAUUAAUUUGGAAAAAAAUCAUUCUAAGUAGAAGAACUGAUGCAGAAGGAGACAUGUAUGUGCUGGGGUUCCUAAAGCACACAUAUUUGUUGGCUAACUUGAAGAAAAAUGUUGUAAGUGAUGGGUUAUAGAAAUGAAUUUGGAAUAAUUAUUAAUUUAUAUUUUGAAAUUCCACUGCCACUCUUAAAAAAUAAAACCUUCUUUUGUUUCUAUUUUGUUUUUGGUUUUUGCUGAUUGAGGUUUUGGUUCUUGGAUCACAUACAAUCUGUGCCCCAAUUAUGCUAUAUUAAGUUUACAUAAAACUUUAUUUUAAUAUCUCGUUUCUAAUAAAAAAUUCCUUUGAAGGAUCAGACCAGUAUUUUUCCAUAUUUAUUCUUAGCUCAGUGGUAGAGUUAUAUCAGAAUUUAAUCCAAAUUUGCUGCUUAAAAUGUAGAUAUAAUCUGUUAAUACAGAACAAUACAUAUUACUGAUGUACUAACCUGACAAUUUUGUGGCCAAUAUUUAAAAAUUGUGAUGCUGUUUGAGAAAUAUUUGAAAUAAAUGAAAUGGAGCUUUUGUGUUUAAAAUUCAUCAUUAUGUAACAUAGGCUUAUUUUGGAUUGUAAUAUUUCAACUACAUGGUUCAUUCUUCUUAUUAAUUCCCAGAUAUAUUUACCUUAUAAUAUGCACUGUACCUGAACAAAAUGUAUUCUUUAAAAAUAAAACAUAAUUAUGAAUAUUCAAUAAUUUCUUAUUUCUCUUCUUUCAAAUGAUUGAGAAUUUAUCGUAUAUAACUAGAUAUUUAUUUU